CAUAGAUCAAGGAGCUCGUCCU
rnacentral:siRNA from 1 species